AAAACAAAAGGACCUGCACUUGCUUCAGUGUGACACAUUUUCUGUAGUACUGGCUGCUGAUUGGGACAAUAUUGGUUGCAUCCAGAAUAUCAUCCUGAACUCAGUAACUCCCUAGGAAUACCUGAGAUAGCUUCAAGGUAUUUUGUCCUAAACACACCCAAAACAUUUACAUUUUGUGUCCCCUCACCCAGGUCAUAUUUUGCCAAUAGCCAGGCUAACAUUUUGAGUUCCCUUGUGUUCUGACUUCUCUCAAAUGUUAUGAAAUGCUU
rnacentral:lncRNA from 1 species